rnacentral:rRNA from 1 species
GUUGAAAGGUCACGGCAUAGGAUGGUUCUGCGGCGUAUCAGGUCGUAGGGGGUGUAACGGACCUCCUAGCCAUCGACGCGUACGGGUUGUGGGAGCAAUAGCCCGGAGAUGGAUUCUGAGACACGAAUCCAGACCCUACGGGGUGCAGCAGGCGCGAAAACUUCACACUGCAGGAAACUGUGAUGAGGGAACUCCAAGUGACUGCACAUUGUGUAGCCUUUUCUUUACUAUUAAUCGGUAUUGGAAUAAGGGCUGGGAAAGACCGGUGCCAGCCGCCGCGGUAAUACCGGCAGCUCAAGUGGUCGUCGCUUUUAUUGGGCCUAAAACGUCCGUAGCCUGUUUGGUAAAUCUGUGGGUAAAUCAACCAGCUUAACUGGUUGAAUUCUGCAGAGACUGCCAGACUAGGGACCGGGAGAGGUGUGGGGUACUCUAGGGGUAGGGGUAAAAUCCUGUCAUCCUUAGAGGACCACCAGUUGCGAAGGCGCCACACUGGAACGGAUCCGACGGUCAGGGACGAAGCCUAGGGGCACGAACCGGAUUAGAUACCCGGGUAGUCCUAGGUGUAAACGCUGUGAACUUGGUGUCGGGAGUCCGCAAUGGGCCCCCGGUGCCGGAGUGAAGAUGUUAAGUUCACUGCCUGGGGAGUACGGUCGCAAGGCUGAAACUUAAAGGAAUUGGCGGGGGAGCACUGCAACGGGAGGAGCGUGCGGUUUAAUUGGACUCAAC